rnacentral:rRNA from 1 species
AUUUUGGACAAUGGGGGAAACCCUGAUCCAGCCAUCCCGCGUGUAUGAUGAAGGCCUUCGGGUUGUAAAGUACUUUUGGCAGAGAAGAAAAGGUAUCUCCUAAUACGAGAUACUGCUGACGGUAUUUGCAGACAAAGCACCGGCUAACUACGUGCCAGCAGCCGCGGGAAUACGUAGGGGGCAAGCGUUAAUAGGAAUUACGGGGCGCAAAGCGUGUGGAGGCGGGUCGGAAAGAAAGAUGUGAAAUCCCAGGGCUCAACCUUGGAACUGCAUUUUUAACUGCCGAGCUAGAGUAUGUCAGAGGGGGGUAGAAUUCCACGUGUAGCAGUGAAAUGCGUAGAUAUGUGGAGGAAUACCGAUGGCGAAGGCAGCCCCCUGGGAUAAUACUGACGCUCAGACACGAAAGCGUGGGGAGCAAACAG